rnacentral:rRNA from 1 species
UACAGAGGGUGCGAGCGUUAAUCGGAAUUACUGGGCGUAAAGGGCGCGUAGGCGGAUGGCACAGUCAGAUGUGAAAUUCCCGGGCUUAACCUGGGGGCUGCAUUUGAUACGUGUUGUCUAGAGUGAGGAAGAGGGUUGUGGAAUUCCCAGUGUAGAGGUGAAAUUCGUAGAUAUUGGGAAGAACACCGGUGGCGAAGGCGGCAACCUGGUCCUUGACUGACGCUGAGGCGCGAAAGCGUGGGGAGCAAACAGG